rnacentral:lncRNA from 1 species
CAGGGUUAGACAGCCAGGCAGCACCUUUGGCCUGAGGAUCUGACUGUGUGGCUCUGGAUGCUGCCUUGCCCUCCCGAGUGCUGGAAUGGCAGUGCUUUGAUACCAUGCCCAGCUACCAGUUCUUGUGAUUCUUAUGAUACCUCAUCAGGGUGGAGUUUGGUAGCUUUGGAAGCCUGUUCCAAGAGAGAAAACCAGCCCGUAUGCUUAUAGACUUAAAAACCCUGGUGUGAAGGCAGCAGAAUCAGUAACUCUCCACUGGCAACAAAGCUGGAGCUGUGUCCUUGCAGGAGGAGAGCGUUGGCUGGGAAGAAGCUGAACGCCCAUCCUCUUUAAUGUUAGGAAGCUCUGAGAAGCUCUGAGAAGAAGAGUCUUGGCCCAGAGCGUCAUAAUGAAGUUGCUUUGGCGAGCUUCCUUUUUAAGACCUUUGGCUGUGGGUGAGCUAUGUGACCUGGGAAAUGUAAGGCAAGCUGUUGUUGCAGAUGUAGCCCAGACACAGGGCACACAAAGCCGCUGAGCUUUUGUCCUUUCAGAAACUGCAACUCUAUGAUCCAACAAAAGCAGCUUUUAAGUUUAAGUCAUCUGACAGUUUAUGUGAGGUGACAAUAAGUUAAUUUAAUAGAUGUUUAUUUUCCUCAUUUUAGAGAUGUCAUUAAUUCUAGCUUAUGUUCGAAUUCAAUAUAAUAUUUGUGCAAAACACAAAUGAAUUGUAUAUACAGUUUGUGACAGUUAGUUUUAAUUGUCAACUUGACAUAACCCAGGAUCACAUGGGAAAGGAAUCUCAGUGAGGGAUGGUCUACAUCAGAUUGGCCUGUGGGCACAUCUAAGUGGGAUUGUCUUGAUUGCCUGUGUUUAUGUGAAAAUCCAGGCCAGCAUAAAUAGCACUGCUCCCGAGACAAGAGGUCAUGCAUAUGGAGCCAAGCACAGGCAAGCAAGCAAGCAAGCAAGCAAGCAAGCAAGCAAGCAAGCAAGCAAGCAUUCAUCUCUCUUCUUGACCAUGGUUGCAAUGUGAUAGACUAUAACCUGGAAGCAUAAGCCAGGGAGAUCCUUUUUCCCCUACUUUAAUUUUUGUCAGGAUAUGCUUAUCACAGCAACAGAAAUUGAACUAUAUUAGC